rnacentral:lncRNA from 7 species
CCUUUUCACUCCAGUCCCACCACAGCUCUAGUCUGCUCCCAUCUCCGUCCUUACUCUCCUGCUAUGCAGCUCCACUUUGCAAUGUGGAGGGAGCUGAGACCAUCCAGCUUUCCUGCUUCCUCAUUCAGGCUGCUAAGUCUGGCCUUGGAGGUGUGUUUCCUGCAGAGCCAGGAAGAAGCAACCCCGUCAUGGUGAACAAGAGCCAUAUCAGAACCAAACUCUCUUCUUUAUAUUAAGCCCAGGUUACUCUAAAAGAAAAUGGAAGAAAGUUUCAAUUCCAAUACACUCAUCCCAUUCUUUUUUUCUCAUAGAUUUAUUUCUGUCUGCAUUUAUACACGUGAUCUUCAGAUUCAUAAGAAGAGAGUUCCAGCAGCAUAAAGUGAGUCUUACAUACAGCAUUUAAGGAAAUGAAGAGGAAUGAACAGGCACAGACUCCUCACAUCCGCAAACACUACAACUCACUCCUAGGCUCUGUGAUGAAACUCAACAGUGCAUUUACAACACCAUUAUCCUUCACAUUACAGAACUUCUAUGAAGAAAGAAAAGGUCUUCCUUAUUUUUUUUACACAUUUUGAAAAUGUUUUAUGAGUGUAACCACAUCACAAUUUCUUGGACUAUGUGUGGCAAAAAAAUGCAAGGAUUGUCUCAGUGCCUUUCUCUUCUGUUAGGCAACCAUACGUAAUAUAUCAUAUAGACAUCACAAUGUUAGUUUGUCUGCUUGCUUUUCCUAGUAUCAUCAUUACAGUAAUAAUUACUGGCUGAAUUGGGAUCCAUUCAAUGAGCCAUACAAAAAGUAUCUUUCCCAUCAGAGAUCAAAGUGACAAAAUAAAGCAUUGCCAAAUGAAAC